UACAGAGGGUGCGAGCGUUAAUCGGAUUUACUGGGCGUAAAGCGUGCGUAGGCGGCUUUUUAAGUCGGAUGUGAAAUCCCCGAGCUUAACUUGGGAAUUGCAUUCGAUACUGGUAAGCUAGAGUAUGGGAGAGGAUGGUAGAAUUCCAGGUGUAGCGGUGAAAUGCGUAGAGAUCUGGAGGAAUACCGAUGGCGAAGGCAGCCAUCUGGCCUAAUACUGACGCUGAGGUACGAAAGCAUGGGGAGCAAACAGGAUUAGAUACCCGGGUAGUCC
rnacentral:rRNA from 1 species